GACGAACGCUGGCGGCGUGCCUAAUACAUGCAAGUCGAGCGCAGGAAGUCAUCCGAACCCUUCGGGGGGACGUUGACGGAAUGAGCGGCGGACGGGUGAGUAACACGUAAAGAACCUGCCCUCAGGUCUGGGAUAACCACGAGAAAUCGGGGCUAAUACCGGAUGGGUCAUCGGACCGCAUGGUCCGAGGAUGAAAGGCGCUCCGGCGUCGCCUGGGGAUGGCUUUGCGGUGCAUUAGCUAGUUGGUGGGGUAAUGGCCCACCAAGGCGACGAUGCAUAGCCGACCUGAGAGGGUGAUCGGCCACACUGGGACUGAGACACGGCCCAGACUCCUACGGGAGGCAGUAGUAGGGAAUCUUCCACAAUGGACGAAAGUCUGAUGGAGCAACGCCGCGUGAACGAUGAAGGCCCUCGGGUCGUAAAGUUCUGUUGUAAGGGAAGAACAAGUGCCGCAGGCAAUGGCGGCACCUUGACGGUACCUUGCGAGAAAGCCACGGCUAACUACGUG
rnacentral:rRNA from 1 species